rnacentral:rRNA from 1 species
AGAGUUUGAUCCUGGCUCAGGAUGAACGCUGGCGGCGUGCCUAACACAUGCAAGUCGAGCGAGAAAUCUUGAAAUGAAACUUCGGUAGAUUUUUAAGAUGGAAAGCGGCGGACGGGUGAGUAACGCGUAGGCAACCUGCCUUAUGCAGAGGGAUAGCCAUUGGAAACGAUGAUUAAAACCUCAUAACGCCGGAGAGUCACAUGGUUUUCCGGCCAAAGAUUUAUCGGCAUAAGAUGGGCCUGCGUCUGAUUAGUUAGUUGGUGGGGUAACGGCCUACCAAGGCGACGAUCAGUAGCCGACCUGAGAGGGUGAUCGGCCACAUUGGAACUGAGACACGGUCCAAACUCCUACGGGAGGCAGCAGUGGGGAAUAUUGCACAAUGGGCGAAAGCCUGAUGCAGCAACGCCGCGUGAAGGAAGAAGGCCUUCGGGUCGUAAACUUCUGUCCUAUGGGAAGAAAAAAAUGACGGUACCAUAGGAGGAAGCCCCGGCUAACUACGUGCCAGCAGCCGCGGUAAUACGUAGGGGGCGAGCGUUAUCCGGAAUUAUUGGGCGUAAAGAGUGCGUAGGUGGUAACUUAAGCGCGGGGUUUAAGGCAAUGGCUUAACCAUUGUUCGCCCUGCGAACUGGGAUACUUGAGUGCAGGAGAGGAAAGCGGAAUUCCUAGUGUAGCGGUGAAAUGCGUAGAUAUUAGGAGGAACACCAGUGGCGAAGGCGGCUUUCUGGACUGAAACUGACACUGAGGCACGAAAGUGUGGGGAGCAAACAGGAUUAGAUACCCUGGUAGUCCACACCGUAAACGAUGAGCACUAGGUGUCGGGGGCGCAAGUCCUCGGUGCCGGAGUUAACGCAUUAAGUGCUCCGCCUGGGGAGUACGUACGCAAGUAUGAAACUCAAAGGAAUUGACGGGGACCCGCACAAGCAGCGGAGCAUGUGGUUUAAUUCGAAGCAACGCGAAGAACCUUA